rnacentral:sRNA from 11 species
GUCAGUAACCCAGCCCUAAAGGGACUGGGCUUGUAAGAGAAAUCAAGCAAGCUGUACUGACCAGACCACCCUGAGCGGAGUCGAAGGGAGUCCACGGGUAGCCGUUAUUUGAAUGAUUAAUUUUUCAUAUUCAGCAUUCAUAAUUUAUCUUAUUUCUAAA